AGAUAAAAAUAUAUUUAUGUUUGAAGCAUACGGUGCGGACUUUGAGGACGUUGACUGAACACUGCAAUGCAAAUUACUAUAACAUAAGUGUUUAAGUUUGACAUAGUGCCAAGAACAUGAUCGAUACCGUCGCCUUUCAUGCUCAGCUAGCCUCCAUCAUUGAGGUUUUGGCGAAUGCAGCCGUUGCCGAAAUCUGCAAACUUGUAGAUGACGGCCAUGCUGCCUUACGUUUGGAAAUUUCACAUAGUCAGAAAGAAAUUGAUAACCUGCGGAGGAAGCUGCUUUUGACAAAAUACCAGAAUUCUCAACGGGGCGCAGAGAAAUUCGGAGCCCUGCGACGCACAGUUCACAGGCGCGACACCAAUCGUGUUGCCCGGGAAAGAGCGAGCUUAGUAGGAAAGUCAUCAGGCAGACUUAGAUAUUGUAGUUUUUUAAAACCAUAUUUCAACACGAUAAAAAUAAUGAGUCAUGUAGAAUAUAUUGGAUAUUGUAGUUUUUUUAACCAUAUUUCAACACGUUCAAAAUAAUGGGUCAUGUAGAAUAUGUAACGUUUAUAAGGGUUUGUGUUUUCUGGUGCAGUGGAGAAUUGUUUUGCCGACAGUGAAAGGGGCAACUUAACGCAGGAUGUCACCAACUGGAGAGAUUCAGGACGCACAGCAACAGACCAGGAUAGAAGCAUGCAGAUGGCAGAUAUGCAAGAGGCACCUCUUAUCAAAAUGGAGAACCAUGACACCAGCAGAACAGAAGAGAUUGUCCAAAUGGUCAGUGAGAGCAGUGAGAAGAUCAUUAUGGCAGAACCAGGUCCUUCGUCAUCUACUGAAACCACAGACCUUCUGGACCAGCAGGGCAACAGACACAGAGCUCCAGACACCUCACUCAAUAUAGAACCUGAAAACCAGACGUUCCAGCAUCCAGCAUCACAAUACAACAGAGCGAGACAGGACCAUCAGGUUGCUGAGGGUGUGACCUGGGAAACUGACCAUCAACCCAUAGCAUACAGCCUGUCUCAAUGGACAGAGAACCAGGAGACUGACAACCCAACUGUGAAUGCUCCUCACAAUGCAGGGCCAGACUCCAAGAGGCUGUCUGAACAUCCAGAGAGGAGAGGGUUGUCUGGUAACUCUGGGGUCUGCAUGUCUGCUUUGGGCUCUCUGGACUGGGUGUCUGAUGUGGUGCUGGUAGACUCAGUUCCCAUUAAAGUGGAGGCAGAUAUGAGUUCAGAAUGGAGCAUAACUGGCCAAGAGGUGACAUCUGGAGAGGUCUGUUCAGACAGCAGGCAGCUUGUGGACAACAGAGGAAGAGGGGGAAUGGAGUCUGGACAGACAAAGUGUCCCACUGACACUCAACAUCCAGAGCAAGAGACAACUGUAGGAUUAAGGUCCAAGAUUCCAGAUUUCAACAGACUGUCCUCCCUAAACAGCUUUUCAUCCCCAAGUGUUACUUUCCUCCAGGUUGCCCAAAGAGGGACACCAGCCCCCUUACUGAAUUUCAACAGAGGCUCCACUUCUUCAUCGAAAGGCAUAGAAAAGCAGCCACAACAGCAAACAUCUCACUCGCCCAAGAGUCAGCACCGGUGUAGCCUCUGUGGAAAGCCCUUCCCCCAGCCGGCGCACCUGCGGAGGCACAUGCGGGUCCAUACGGGGGAGAAACCGUAUGACUGCAGCCACUGCACCAAGCGCUUCUCCCACAGCCACCAGCUGAAGAUGCAUGAGAGGGUGCACACCGGAGAGAAACCGUUUCAAUGUGUCUACUGCGGGAAGUGCUUCACCCAGUCUGGCCACAUGAAGAAGCAUCUCCUUGUUCACACUGGUGGCAGGCCACAGGACGUUGUACUGCCCUGAGUGUUCCAGGAAUCCCCAGAGGUACUAUGGUCUGGGGAAACCUCAUCUCCUGGAGCUUCCUCUUGAGUCGCUCGUGUGGAUCUUCUGGGAUAUGCUGCGUGUGGACAGGAAGAGAGGCUACUGGAACCUGUCUCUGGUCUGCAGAACUUUUCACACCAUCUUGAGAAAUUAAAUCAUCAGGAAGUACUCCAUAGGGAAGAUCUGAUCCUGAACCCCAGUCGUUACUGAAAGGAGAAGCCAGUACAUUGUGGUUACAGGUUACUGUGAAGGACAAUAUAAACCAUUAUAUACUUGCUGCAUGCUUGUUACUCUGCGUAGAACACUAAGUUGUAUAGCUAUUGCCCAGGACUAUCUGAAAUUCCUUUGGCUAUUUAGCCAUUCUAUAUCCAGAUAUUUCAAUCCUUCUACUGUUACAUUGUUCAGAGUUAGAGUGCAUUCUCAGUGUGGUGCAUCAGUUAGUUUUGAGACUACUAACCUUUAGCCUACACUUCUAUUUACUUUUAAGUGAAGCAAUUUUAUACUUUUUAAAAUCAAGUUGUAUGUUGAGUCUGUAUUGUUGUACUUGAACUAAAUAGUAAAUAUUUAUUUUCUGA